CUACCUGACCUAGCGGCGGACGGGUGAGUAAUGCUUAGGAAUCUGCCUAUUAGUGGGGGACAACAUUCCGAAAGGAAUGCUAAUACCGCAUACGCCCUACGGGGGAAAGCAGGGGAUCUUCGGACCUCGCGCUAAUAGAUGAGCCUAAGUCAGAUUAGCUAGUUGGUGGGGUAAAGGCCUACCAAGGCGACGAUCUGUAGCGGGUCUGAGAGGAUGAUCCGCCACACUGGGACUGAGACACGGCCCAGACUCCUACGGGAGGCAGCAGUGGGGAAUAUUGGACAAUGGGCGAAAGCCUGAUCCAGCCAUGCCGCGUGUGUGAAGAAGGCCUUUUGGUUGUAAAGCACUUUAAGCGAGGAGGAGGCUACUUGGAUUAAUACUCUAGGAUAGUGGACGUUACUCGCAGAAUAAGCACCGGCUAACUCUGUGCCAGCAGCCGCGGUAAUACAGAGGGUGCGAGCGUUAAUCGGAUUUACUGGGCGUAAAGCGUGCGUAGGCGGCUUUUUAAGUCGGAUGUGAAAUCCCUGAGCUUAACUUAGGAAUUGCAUUCGAUACUGGGAAGCUAGAGUAUGGGAGAGGAUGGUAGAAUUCCAGGUGUAGCGGUGAAAUGCGUAGAGAUCUGGAGGAAUACCGAUGGCGAAGGCAGCCAUCUG
rnacentral:rRNA from 1 species